rnacentral:pre_miRNA from 1 species
AGCCUUCCAUAUCCGUGCUGACAUUUCAUCACACAUCAGACCACAAGGACUUAUAAAACUUCCAAGAUAAGUAAAAUG